rnacentral:rRNA from 1 species
AUAAUGGAGAGUUUGAUCCUGGCUCAGGACGAACGCUGGCGGCGUGGAUUAGGCAUGCAAGUCGAACGAGAACGCAUUCUUCGGAGUGUUAGUACAGUGGCGAACGGGUGAGGAACACGUAGGUAAUUUACCUUUAAGUUUGGGACAACCUGGGGAAACUCAGGCUAAUACCGGAUGUGAUCGAGAGAUUAAAGGGGGCCUCUAUUUAUAAGCUCUCGCUUAGAGAUAAGCCUGCGUCCUAUUAGCUAGAUGGUGUGGUAACGGCGCACCAUGGCGAUGAUAGGUAGGCGGCCUUAACGGGUGGCCGCCCACACUGGGAUUGAGAUACGGCCCAGACUCCUACGGGAGGCAGCAGUCGAGAAUCGUCUACAAUGGGGGAAACCCUGAUAGUGCGACGCCGCGUGAACGAUGAAACCCUUCGGGGCGUAAAGUUCUUUUCUUUGUGAGCAGAUUAUUUAAUGAGAAUAUUGUUUAAUAAUAGAUAUUAGCAAAGGAAUAAGCCACGGCUAACUCCGUGCCAGCAGCCGCGGUAAUACGGGGGUGGCAAGCGUUGUCCGGAAUCACUAGGCGUAAAGGGUAGGUAGGCGGAUUAGUAAGUCAGAUGUUAAAGGCACAGGCUCAACCUGUGUACGGCAUUUGAUACUGUUAAUCUAGAGUUAGGUAUGGGAGGACGGAAUUUCUGGUGUAGCGGUGGAAUGCGCAGAUAUCAGAAAGAACACCAAAGGCGAAGGCAGUUCUCUUGGCCAUAACUGACGCUAAACUACGAAGGUGUGGGUAUCAAACAGGAUUAGAUACCCUGGUAGUCCACACAGUAAACGAUAAACACUAGGUGUCGGGGAGAUAUAUCUUCGGUGCCGUAGCUAACGCGUUAAGUGUUUCGCCUGGGGAGUACGAUCGCAAGGUUGAAACUCAAAGGAAUUGACGGGGGCCCGCACAAGCGGUGGAGCAUGUGGUUUAAUUCGAUGCA